rnacentral:lncRNA from 1 species
UCUAUCACUAUCAUGUGCACUAUUUUGAUAUGCCCAAUUAAACAACAGCUAGAUUAUUACAGAGGGACCAAUUGUGUGACAUACUUCUUAAACUUACCAGAACUCCAAUUGCCAUCAGUUUAAUUACGGACUCUGUUUAAAUACAUCUUUCAAAAAUUAGAAAAGCUCGACUCAACUCGAGUUUAGCAUUUCUCUGCUUGAUCUGGCAAUACAAUCCAAGUUAAAUUCGAAUUCAUCCCAAAUUUGAUCAUGAACAUCCAAAGUAGAAUUCCUACUCUGCAGAUUGGAAGAUCGUUUAUCACAAUAUCAAUUUCAAGGCUAACCAAAAGACAAAUAGAACUAUUACAUGCCAAUCAUUUUGGAUGCAGCAACAAAUACAUGCAAGCAGCGAUUUAAAAAGCGCUAGGCGCCAAGGUCCAAAAACGCCCGAGGCGCUAGGCGCUCGCCCGAGCGAAGCGAGACGCUAAAAUAUAAAAAUAUAUAAUAUAAUUAAUAAAUAUAAUUAUUUAAAAUUUUAAAUAAAAAUAUGCUAUUAAAUUAAGAAAAUCUAAGAUACAAAAUCACAAUGUGACAUUAACAAAAAGUUUCAAAAUUCAAAACAAUAAAAUUUUACAUCAAAGUCAUUCAUCAUAAUCAAUAUUAUCAUCAUUUUCACACAAAUCAUCUUCAUUGAAUUCGUCUUUUUCUUCUUGUCCUUCGAUUCCUUCCUCUUCAUCAAGAUAUGUUUCAUUCUCUAUGUCUUCAACAAUAGCACGAGCCGAGCUUGAUGCUUUUGCACUCAUUUUUCUCUUUGACAUAUGUCUUGUAUAUGUUUGUAAUUCUUCAGCACCUGAAGCUCUUGCCACAUCUCCCCAUAUCAAUCUAUCAUCUUCAAAUACAAGCUCGUCUUCAGCAUCUUGCAAGUUAGCACCCAUUUCUCCUACUAACCACUCAUUUGAAUCAUCAAUAUCUUGCAAUGAGAUUGAAUCAAAUAUAUUUUGCAAAUCAUGACGAGCCUUCAAAGCUUGAUUAUACUUUAUGUAAACAAGAUCGUGCAAUCGUUGAUGUUCUAAUCGAUUUCUUCUCUUCGAGUGAAUCUGUCAUGUCAUAUAAUUUAAAAAUAUAUUAAUACAUAUAUCUAAAUAAAUAAAUUAAUUAAAACAAAAAUAUUUAGUGAUCCUUACAUGCUCAAAAACACUCCAGUUUCUCUCACAGCCCGAAGCACUACAUGUCAAACUAAGUACUUUGAUAGCAAAUUGCUGUAAGUUCGGGAUGGAAUUUCCAAAGACUCCACCAUUCAGCUGCAAAAUUUAUGUUAUUAUUAGCAAUAACAUAAUAACAUAAUAUAUAUAUAAUUAAUUAUAUUAAAUUAUUAAUACCUGGAGACGUAGUUGUUCUGGAUCGAACGGCAAUUGGAAUUCCAAAAAGACCUUCGGCAUUUUUAUAUAAAGAUAAUUCAUAAAUAAUCUUAUCUUGAACCUCAAGGCUGGGAACUAAUCUUGCAACGCACUGAUAUAACCCACUUAAAACUUCUGCAUCAAAUCCAACAUAUUUAAUCUUAUAAAAGAAUUCAGGGUUCAGAUAAUAUCCUGCUGCAUGUAAGGGACGAUGAAGUUGACAAUUCUAUCUUUCGUCAAUGAUUGUAAAAAUUUUCUCAUAUUUUUCUUCAUUUUUAUUAAAAGAUCUUUUAAUCGUCUCCUUUGCUCUAUCCAUAGCCUCAUAAAUAUAUCCCAUUGCAGGCUUAUUUUCAUUAUCCACCAACCGAAUGACUCGAACAAGAGGGUCCAUUACCUUUAAUAUAUAAACUACAUGAUUCCAAAAGGAUGGCAUUAAAAUGAUAUCAGCAGCCCUCUUGCCUUUUGCUUCUUUUGCCCUUUUGCUUGUCACCCAUUUCUCAAAGGUAAACAUAUUUCUCAAAGUAUGUUUUUGACGAUGCACGCUCUAUAAUGUCAAGAAUGAAGUAGCAAAUCAGGUGACACCAUGUCUCACUAAUUCUUUAUUCCCUGUAAAUUCUCUCAUCAUAUUCAAAGCCCCAAUGUGAUUAUAAAGAAAUCCUCUAUAAGGUUUUCUUGAUUUCUAAGAUCUUUCCAAUAUCCUCCAACAUUAAAUCAAUACAAUGUGUUGCACAUGGAGUCCAAUACAAGUGUUGUCUUUUUUAUUCAAGCAAUUUACCUGAGACAAAGGAUAACAAAAAUGAUAAGACUUAAGAGUUUAACACACUUAAUUGAAGAUAAAAUAAUUAAUAAAUUCAAAAGAUGAAUAUUACCAGCUAAAACAUAGUUGCUUCCAUUGUCGGUUAUGAUUUGAACGAUAUUUUGUUCUCCAAUUUCUUCCACGAAGUUGUCAAGUAAAUCAUAUAUCUUGUCUCCAGAUUUUACAAAAGACGAAGCAUCUAUUGACUUCACAAACAUAGUCCCUAAAGAACAAUUAACCAUAAAAUUAAUUAUACUCCUGCGCCUCCUGUCAGUCCAAACAUCUGACAUAAUAGAGCAACUAUGUGUUGCCCAUGAUUCUUUAUGACCCUUUAGUAAGUCAUUUGUAUAAUUCAACUCUUUUUGCAACAAUGGAACUCGCAUCUCAUAAUAACUUGAAGGUUUUAAUCCUGCACCAUAUCUUCCAAUAGCUUCAAUCAUAUCCUUAAAACUGUCUAAACGAGUUGUACUAAGGGGAAGACCAGCCUAAUAGAAGAAGCGAGCAAUGUGCUGAAUUGUUCUUCCUCUUAUUUCUUUAUCACAAGCAUCACUUAUAUUUGUUUGUCUAAAUUUUGAGCCUUCUGCUUGCCCUUGUUGUUUCUGGGAUCCUUGAAACAUAUAUAGAUCCAUCGGUCCUUUUUUACCUUUCUUAGUACUCAUAACUUCUUUUCCUUUUUUGUCAUAUACUUUUUUUUCACUUGGGUUAAUACUCAUAGAAUAAUCUUCUUCUUCAUCCCUGAGAUGUUCAACAUUGUCUUCUGAUAAAUUCCCGUAAGAUUCAUUCUUUUGUGUCUUCUUUUCAUUCAUAUAACUCAGCAACUCUUCUUUUACCUCAGGUGGACACUUUUUGCAAGCUGCUGCAUUCUUGAAAUUUCCUACUAGAUGUUGUUUUGCACGAAAAAUACCACCUCUAGUAGUCUUAUAACAGAAUAUGUAAGUCACUGCAUUAUGAUCUUUCGGAUCCUUCAAAAAAUUAUACUUCCAUGCAGGAUCUUUUUUUGAUACCAUUGGAGACUCUAUUGAGUUGCUCUCUACACUUGUCAUUUAUGUUGAAACCUAACAAUAAUUUCAAAUAAAUAAAAAUUAACAAUAUUAAAAUCAAAAUAAUAUAUUAUUAAUCUAUUAACAGUAUUGAAAAUUAAUCAUUUCAAAUAAACUUAUUAUUAACAGUAUAAGCCUGCUGAUUGAGAAAAAAGGAAGCAACAGCGGCGAGCGACGGCAGCGGCGAGCGACGACAGCAGCGGCGGCAGCGGUGAGCAACAGCAGCGGUAGUGAGAGCGAGAGCGGGAGCGGCGAGCAGCGGGAGGCGCGAGCGGUGACAGCGGCAGCGUUUGCGAGCAGCGACAGAGGCGAGCAAUGGCAGCGGGAGCAGGAGCGGCGAGCAGCGGGAGGCGCGAGCGACGACAAAGGCAGCGUUUACGAGCAGCGACAGCGGCGAGCAGCGGGAGGCGCGAGCGGCGACAACGGAAGCGUUUGCGAGCAGCGAUAGCGGCAAGCAGCGAGAUCGGGAGCGGCAGCGGCAGUGACGAGGGUUAGGGUUGGGUUCUCACUUAUAUCGAUUUUAGUUGGUUCGAUUGAACCAACUAACCAUCAGAGACUGAACCAGGACCGAACCAGACCUAAAAUCCUGGUUCAGUCGCCUUGGUUAACCCAGGCACUCGCCCGAAGCGCCCAGCGCCUGGGCUCGGGCGAGCGCCCAGGCGGAGCCUGUUUGAAGCGCGUCGCUUGGGAGAUUAGCGAGGCGCUCAAGCCUCGCCUCAGCUCGCCCGGGCGCCUAGGCGAGCGCCCGAGCGCCUUGUUAAAUCACUACAUGCAAGACAUAGAUUAUGCGUCAUUGACAUUACGAAUGGACUCAAGUCUCCCAAGAGUGAUGAAAUAUCCAAUCGAGUAUGGAAAUAGCACCAUUCACAUGUAAUUCACUAUAGGCCAAUGUUGACACAUGUUGCAUGGUUUACUGCUUAUAAUUACAGCGAGCAACUUCUACUAUAAUAGCUGGUGAAUGAGAGAAUCUUGCAACUCAUAUAACAGCACCUAGCAAACUGCUGUUCAGAAAUAUGCUCGAAGUGCCAAAAUGACAAGGUCCAUCAUGAUUGUAAAAAACCAAAUUAGAUCUAUCAGUCUAUAAGCAAAGACUACAAUAUUAAACCUAGAUCAUACAAUAAUUCAAUAAUAAAAUUCAUGGUUGAAGCCAUAGCAGAAUUGGUACCGGAAUCUGGAUAAGCUAUGAACAAUAUGAUCAAGACUGGCUUAGGAUGAUCAAACCAGAUUGGUGGCAAUGGAAUCGGUUGAGAAAAUAAUUUCAUAAUAAAACACAAAAAAAUACAAAAAUGGCAAAACACAAAGAUACAAAAUAUGAUCAGAAAAUAAAAAAUGUGCUAAAAAGGUUUCUAUCUUCACAUUUACAAUAUGUCUAUCUUUUACAAGAACACAUAUGAAAUUGAAUUAUAAUGAAUAAAAAAUUUAUCGAAUUUACCUAAAAAUAUUACCCAUUUUUAUCUAGGAGUUUCCCUCUUUUCAGAAUUUACCUGAGGAUGGCUCAAUAUGUUCAAAUACCCAAAAGCCCAUGAACCGGUUCACUGAAUUAUCCAGUUUAAAUGAACUAAAUUGAUUCAGAUUCCAUCAAAUUAGAUUUAGGAAGUUCCUAAAAUAACCAAAAUACAACAAACAGAAUAAUUGUUUAAGUCAUGUUUUCCUUUGACACUAAAAUUUUGUGGUGAGUUGGACAAACUUUAUGGUGUUCCAAAUUGUGUUACACUAGAUUGCAUAAUCAAGAUAAAAAUGUAUCAAAUUGGACUACAAAAUUCACUAAAAUUAAUUUAAAAAAUAUAAAAAUCAAUGGAGUAACUAUUUAUAUUGAUGAUUAAAGUCUGAGUCAAAAAUCUGAGGUGAGUUGGAAAAAAAUAAUGGGAUUACACUUAUAAAUGAAUUCAAUUGCAGACUUAACUCGAUUGCAGAAUCAUAGAGUAAUUUAUUUUCAUUUCGAUUCUGAAAUCAAAUGUAAUAAAAUUCAUUUAUGGACAUAACACCAUAAAUUUAUUCAAC